GAAGGCUUCAAAUCCCCCGAGGAGUUGCUGAAGGCUUCGCGGGUUC
rnacentral:tRNA from 1 species